rnacentral:ncRNA from 1 species
UAUCGUGAGGUAGCGGGGAGAAGAAGGCAUAGCGAAAUCGUGGCUUAAAGAACAGGAAUGUUAUAGUAAGACACGUUUAGAGGAUAAAGUGGCUUCACACUCUAAAGCACAAAUAGGUAUACCUAAUCCAUAUAUUUAAAUCACGAGAGUGUACGAGAAAAGAUG